rnacentral:tRNA from 1 species
GUUAGUGUGGCAGAGCCCGGAAAUUGCGAAAGAUCUAAGCCCUUUCAACGGAGGUUCAAGUCCCCCCUCUAACU